rnacentral:rRNA from 1 species
UACGUAGGGUGCGAGCGUUGUCCGGAAUUACUGGGCGUAAAGAGCUCGUAGGUGGUUUGUCGCGUUGUUCGUGAAAUCUCACGGCUUAACUGUGAGCGUGCGGGCGAUACGGGCAGACUUGAGUACUGCAGGGGAGACUGGAAUUCCUGGUGUAGCGGUGGAAUGCGCAGAUAUCAGGAGGAACACCGGUGGCGAAGGCGGGUCUCUGGGACGGUACUGACGCUGAGACGCGAAAGCGUGGGGAGCGAACAGG